rnacentral:rRNA from 1 species
UACGUAGGGAGCAAGCGUUGUCCGGAAUCAUUGGGCGUAAAGCGCGCGUAGGUGGCUCUAUAAGUCCGUUGUGAAAGUCAAAGGCUCAACCUUUGAAAGCCGAUGGAUACUGUGGAGCUAGAGUACGGAAGAGGCGAGUGGAAUUCCUGGUGUAGCGGUGGAAUGCGCAGAUAUCAGGAGGAACACCGGUGGCGAAGGCGGGUCUCUGGGCCGAUACUGACGCUGAGGAGCGAAAGCGUGGGGAGCGAACAGG